AGUGAACGCUGGCGGUAGGCCUAACACAUGCAAGUCGAACGGCAGCACAGUAAGAGCUUGCUCUUACGGGUGGCGAGUGGCGGACGGGUGAGGAAUACAUCGGAAUCUACUUUUUCGUGGGGGAUAACGUAGGGGAACUUACGCUAAUACCGCAUACGACCUACGGGUGAAAGCAGGGGAUCUUCGGACCUUGCGCGAUUGAAUGAGCCGAUGUCGGAUUAGCUAGUUGGCGGGGUAAAGGCCCACCAAGGCGACGAUCCGUAGCUGGUCUGAGAGGAUGAUCAGCCACACUGGAACUGAGACACGGUCCAGACUCCUACGGGAGGCAGCAGUGGGGAAUAUUGGACAAUGGGCGCAAGCCUGAUCCAGCCAUACCGAGUGGGUGAAGAAGGCCUUCGGGUUGUAAAGCCCUUUUGUUGGGAAAGAAAAGCAGCAGGUUAAUACCCCGCUGUUCUGACGGUACCCAAAGAAUAAGCACCGGCUAACUUCGUG
rnacentral:rRNA from 1 species